rnacentral:misc_RNA from 1 species
AAAAAAAAAAAAAGAUCUUAUACUGAAUAUCAGAUAGCAUAACCCCAACUACUUGUAGCUAUACGGAGUACAAGUUUGUGUAUCUGAAGGUGCGUAUUUGUGCAAGAUUUGUGUCCCUCUUCUUCUCUCAUUCACAUACAACCAUCCGCGUGUUGGCUUCCUACUUUUAUGCACGGAGCUGAACUUCAUUAAUUUCAGAGGCAGCUAUGGUUUGGAGAAUUCACACCACCGUGGCAGCUUUUGCAGUUGCGUAGUCUGAUCAGUUUCUAUUUGCAUCCCGCAAAAUUCCAAUUCAUUUCCUCCAUCUUUGCAUUUUACUGAAAUGUUCUUCUCUUGAUGCUCCUCAUCCAAAGAUUAUUUGCCAAUUUAGUCCAUGCUUCGCUCUUAUAUAUAGUUUCCUUUAAAUUAAAUCAAGCCCAGAAAUCCCACCACUGACAACCAGUAUUUGAUUGAUCGAAAAGGCCAUCAGAGUCUAAACUUCGCCAAUCUUCUUGUGAUGUCCAUGAUCCAUCAGCGUGUUCCACUAUGCUCAUAAGGUUGGGUUCUUCCUCUAAUCCAAAGUAUUCAACCUUUAUUCUAUCAUCUUCAUCUGAAGGAACUCCCAAUCCAUGUGCUGAUCUUUCAAAUGACAAGCUGGGCUUCGCUUCUGAAUCACACUUUUUGGUGUCUCCAUUUUCCGAUUCACCUUCACUGCUAUUCACAGCUACUCCCUGCCCACACCACUCGCCUUCCUCUCUUGGCUUCUGCAUCAGAUCAUUUAGCUUCUGCAACUGAAUUGCCAACGCCUGCUUCUCCUUCUUCAGAGUGGAUACUAUUAGCCAAUUACAAUAGCUUGGCUUCCAGGUUUGAGUCUCUUUCGAGCUGCUUGGACUUCCAUCUAGCUCUCUUAUUCUGAAACCAUAUUGCAACCUGUUUUGGCUGCAAUCCAAGCUCUUUAGCAAGCUCAAGUUUCUUUCGAGCCUCGAGCCUUGACUCGGAUUCAAACAUAGAUUCUAAUGAUUUAACUUGUUCAUCACUAAACCUCCUCUUGUUCCUGUUCUUCUUCUUUCUCGUGGCUGCGAGUGCGUCGAGAUUGGGGAAAAAGGGCUCCUGUGUGGAAGGAGGAUAUUCAACCUUAUCUAACAUCAUGUUGUAGGGAUGCGCAGUGGAGUGGUUAGACAACGUUUUAAUCUAU